AACGAACGCUGGCGGCAGGCCUAACACAUGCAAGUCGAACGCCCUAGCAAUAGGGAGUGGCAGACGGGUGAGUAACGCGUGGGAAUAUCCCCCUCAGUACGGAAUAGCCCAGGGAGACUUGGAGUAAUACCGUAUACGUCCGUGAGGAGAAAGAUUUAUCGCUGAGGGAUUAGCCCGCGUCGGAUUAGCUAGUUGGUGAGGUAACGGCUCACCAAGGCGACGAUCCGUAGCUGGUUUGGGAGAAUGACCAGCCACACUGGGACUGAGACACGGCCCAGACUCCUACGGGAGGCAGCAGUGGGGAAUCUUGGACAAUGGGCGCAAGCCUGAUCCAGCCAUGCCGCGUGAGUGACGAAGGCCUUAGGGUUGUAAAGCUCUUUUGCCGGGGACGAUAAUGACGGUACCCGGAGAAUAAGUCCCGGCUAACUUCGUGCCAGCAGCCGCCGUAA
rnacentral:rRNA from 1 species